AGAGUUUGAUCCUGGCUCAGGAUGAACGCUGGCGGCGUGCCUAAUACAUGCAAGUCGAGCGAACCACUUCGGUGGGAAGCGGCGAACGGGUGAGUAACACGUAGGUGAUCUGCCCAUCAGACGGGGACAACGAUUGGAAACGAUCGCUAAUACCGGAUAGGACGAAAGUUUAAAGAUGCUCCUGGCAUCACUGAUGGAUGAGCCUGCGGCGCAUUAGCUAGUUGGUGGGGUAAAGGCCUACCAAGGCGACGAUGCGUAGCCGACCUGAGAGGGUGAACGGCCACACUGGGACUGAGACACGGCCCAGACUCCUACGGGAGGCAGCAGUAGGGAAUCUUCGGCAAUGGGCGAAAGCCUGACCGAGCAACGCCGCGUGAAUGAAGAAGGCCUUCGGGUUGUAAAAUUCUGUUAUAAGGGAAGAAAGGUGAUAGGAGGAAAUGACUAUCAAUUGACGGUACCUUAUGGGAAAGCCACGGCUAACUACGUG
rnacentral:rRNA from 1 species